rnacentral:rRNA from 2 species
CCAUGUGAGUCAUUGUAGCAAUACAAGGCAGACGGCUCAGUAACACGUAGCCAAUCUAACCUAUGGACGGGGAUAACCUCGGGAAACUGAGGAUAAACCCCGAUAGAUCAUUAUGCCUGGAACGGUUUAUGGUCCAAAUGAUUCGUCGCCGUAGGAUGAGACUGCGGCCUAUCAGCUUGUUGGUGAGGUAAUGGCCCACCAAGGCUAUUACAGGUACGGGCUCUGAGAGGAGAGGCCCGGAGAUGGGUACUGAGACACGGACCCAGGCCCUAUGGGGCGCAGCAGGCGAGAAACCUUUGCAAUGUGCGCAAGCACGACAAGGUUAAUCCGAGUGAUUCCUGCUAAAGGAAUCUUUUGUUAGUCUUAAAAUCACUAUUGAAUAAGGGGUGGGCAAGUUCUGGUGUCAGCCGCCGCGGUAAAACCAGCACCUCAAGUGGUCAGGAGGAUUAUUGGGCCUAAAGCAUCCGUAGCCUGCUCUGUAAGUUUCCGGUUAAAUCCAUUAGCUCAACUAAUGGCCUGCCGGAAAUACUGCAGAGCUAGGAAGUGGGAGAGGUAGACGGUACUCGGUAGGAAGGGGUAAAAUCCUUUGAUCUAUUGAUGACCACCUGUGGCGAAGGCGGUCUACCAGAACACGUUCGACGGUGAGGGAUGAAAGCUGGGGGAGCAAACCGGAUUAGAUACCUGGGUAGUCCCAGCUGUAAACGAUGCAGACUCGGUGAUGCGCUGGCUUGUGGCCAGUGCAGUGCCGCAGGGAAGCCGUUAAGUUUGCCGCCUGGGAAGUACGUACGCAAGUAUGAAACUUAAAGGAAUUGGCGGGGGAGCACCACAAG